UAAAUACCCCCUUUAAAAAAGAAAGAAAGAAAAAAGAAAAUAUAUUAAAAAAUAAAAAAAAAUAAAACUCACUUUCUUUGAGAACGGCAUGGAGACGAUUUUUGAACCAGACCAUGUUGUCAGCCCUCCUCUCCUCCCACCCUGCAGUCCAGCAAAAAGACAAUCGAACGAUCACAGCCACUGCCCACGUGGAGUGCAAGAGCCAGGGGAGCACUUGUGAUGCCCAGCACCACCCACCCACCCACCCACAGCAUGCAUACGAGAAACACACCGGAAGGCAAUGGACAACCUACAUGGAUAGCCAUGGGAACGGAAAAUUUAUUUUUGUUUCUUUUUGGGAGAGGGAAAAGAGAACCGUCUAAUCUGUGAACUCAAAUGAAAACUCAGUAAUGAAGAUUGGAGACUCAGCAUUUUCCUCCUCCUCCUCGUAGUUCUUUUUCUUUUUUCUUCUCAUCUUUCUCUUGUGCAGUUCUUAUUAUUAUUAUAUUAUUAUUAUUAUUUUUCUCCCGGGUUGUUUGUUUGCAUUUUUUUUUUAUUAAAAAAGAACAUUUUUGUUGCCGUUGCUUAAUCUCUUUGGAGAGCCCAGAAGAUUUUACAAGUCUGUGAAUGGGCCUUGGGGACACCGUCAUCUGCCAUUCCCACAACCAACAGGAAGAUCCUCCCCCAACCACACUGGCUAUGCUCUUGUGACAAACGGAAAUGCACCCUUCUUGGUUCCUCUUGACAUUGCUUCUCCAGGAGGCUGGGGAGAGAGAAGGAGGACUUCCCCCUUGAAGAAUCCUCAUCCACUGAGAAGUCCCUGCAAGAAGACAGAAGCCUCGUGUUGCCUUUCCCUCCCUGUCCCCCUGCCCAACCCCAAUGCACACCUGUGUUACUGUGGCCCUCUAUGUUACUGCCUCUCCUACCCCUCCCUGCUGCCCCCAGCCCCAGGUCUGUCACUGAGAUGCUUGUGUCUCCUUUGUUGAGAAGCAAGGUGGGGUGGAGGGUGGGGAAAAUGGGGCUUUUCUUUCUGCACAAAACCAGCAAUUGUAAAUACUUUUCAAAAAUAUAUAAAAAAGUGAAAAAAAUACAAAAGAGCAAACACAAUGAAAACACACGAACACACACACACACAGCGCGUUUUCAAAAUCAGAAAUAAAUAUUGAGAGGAGAAGAAGAAGAAAAAAAGGAGUCCAGAGAGAGUCAAAGCAGGAGAGAAGCUAAUUGUGUCAGAUAUGCACUGAGAAAUCUAUUUGCAGAUUGAUUGACAAAAAGUAACAAGAAGCUAUUUAUUGUAUAUAAUGUUUUAUUAUAAAUCGUGUAUUGUAUAUUGCAUCUGUACAUCUGCUGUGGUUUUGUGAUGUGCAAAUUUCAGCAUGGGUUUCCUUGAGGUUUUAAGUUGCUUUUUUAUUGUUUGUUGAGGGGGGGAUUUUUUUAUUUUAUUUUAUUGUUUUGUUUUGUUUUUUGGCAGUACGCACCCAAAGAUCCAAAUUUGUAUUUUAAAAAGAAAAGGGGGGGGGAGAUUAAAGACAAGCAAAUGCACCCUCUUUUGUUAGGGAGAGGGAGGGGAGCAACGGCAUUUUCUGAGUUCUCAUUGGCCACUUGUAAACCGAAACGAGUAUUUCUUCCAUGUGUGCCCCGUUGCGCCAGUGCUGAGCUCAGGGUGUAUGUGUGUGUGUGUGCGUGUGCGAGUGACUUCUUUUUCCACCUUUGUCCUGCCCUCUCUAUUCCCUCCUUUUCCUGGAUUUGGAAACUUAUGUACAGCUUUGUGGAUUGUGCAAAAACAAAAAAAGAAAGAAACUUAAAAAAAAGAGGAAGACCCCCCACCCCUGUUCUGUGUUACCCAUAACUGAUCUGAACUGUACGACUAAAUAUACCAGACUUGGUAGUCGACUGGAGACAGAACACACCUGAUUUGUCACCAUAUAAGCUCCUGCUUGCUUGAUUCCUUCCCCAGGCCACGUUGCCUUCAUCCACACCACCCCUCAAAGCCCCUCUUUUUAUUUUGCUUCCCCUCCCCCCUCCCUGUGCCCCAACUGGUCUUUUUGUGUAUUUAGGAAGGAAUUUUUAAUAGACACUUUUUAUAUUAAAAGAAACCUAUAUAUUGAGUGA